rnacentral:rRNA from 1 species
AGAGCGAACGCUGGCGGCAGGCCUAACACAUGCAAGUCGAACGGACCCUUCGGGGUUAGUGGCGGACGGGUGAGUAACACGUGGGAACGUGCCUUUAGGUUCGGAAUAGCUCCUGGAAACGGGUGGUAAUGCCGAAUGUGCCCUUCGGGGGAAAGAUUUAUCGCCUUUAGAGCGGCCCGCGUCUGAUUAGCUAGUUGGUGAGGUAAAGGCUCACCAAGGCUACGAUCAGUAGCUGGUCUGAGAGGAUGACCAGCCACAUUGGGACUGAGACACGGCCCAAACUCCUACGGGAGCAGCAGUGGGGAAUCUUGCGCAAGUGGGCGAAAGCCUGACGCAGCCAUCGCCGCGUGAAUGAUGAAGGUCUUAGGAUUAGUAAAUUCUUACAGUAGGAGAUAAUGACGGUACUACAGAAGAACGCCCGACUAACUUCGCGCCACGCAGCCGACGU